rnacentral:lncRNA from 1 species
CGCCUUCAACAAUGAGCAAUGACCAUACCGCAUAGUCAGCUAUAAAAGGCCCCGAUAAGACAAUGUAAAACAAUUCAAACGAGAAAACUAACGGCCUUAUUUUUGUAAAAAAAUGAAAGAAAAACAAAUAUGUAACAUAUAAACAAACGUCAACCACUGAAUUACAGGCUCCUGACUUGGGACAGUACAUACAUUAAUAAUGUGGCGGGGUUAAACAUGUUAGCGGGAUCCCAACCCUCCCC